GGCGAGGUAGCCAAGUGGGAAGGCACGGGAUCGCAAAUCCUUGACUCGCAUGUUCGAUUCAUGCCCUCGCCU
rnacentral:tRNA from 1 species